CUCACUCUCGAUUUAAAGAAGGAAGCCCAUUGAUCGGGCGAAAGGGAAUCCGGUUCCUAUUCCGGAACCCGGCAGCGGAACCGUUGUUUGUCGGGCCCUCACAAGGGGUUCGUCAGGGCAACCUAAAAGGGCCCGGAGACGCCGUCGGGAGCCCCGGAAAGAGUUUUCUUUUCUGCAUGAGCGUUCGAGUUCCCUGGAAUCCUCUCGCAGGGAGAUAGGGUUUGGAACGCGAAGAGCACCGCAGUUGCGGCGGUGCCCGGGAAUUCCCGACGGACCUUGAAAAUCCGGGAGAGGGCCACGUGGAGGUGUCGCGCCGGCUCGUACCCAUAUCCGCAGCAGGUCUCCAAGGUGAAGAGCCUCUAGUC
rnacentral:rRNA from 1 species